UACAGAGGGUGCGAGCGUUGUCCGGAAUCACUGGGCGUAAAGGGCGCGUGGGUGGCGACCCAAGUCGAUGGUGAAAGCUCGCCGCUCAACGGCGAGUCGGCCACCGAUACUGGGUUGCUGGAGCACUGUAGAGGCUCAUGGAAUUCCGGGUGUAGCGGUGGAAUGCGUAGAGAUCCGGAAGAACACCGGUGGCGAAGGCGGUGAGCUGGGCAGUUGCUGACACUGAGGCGCGACAGCGUGGGGAGCAAACAGG
rnacentral:rRNA from 1 species